CCGCGCCGCGCGGCCUUGGAGAGGGGUGGAGACCCGAGCGACUCCCGGGCCCGAAAGUUGGGUUAGGAAGAACUCAAAGGAAAUACAGAAAAUGUGACAAUGAGGAAAGCGUCUGGAUUCCAGAUCUUUGUCAGCAGCAGGGUUCCUGAGUUAGAAGUCAUACUGACUGGUGGCAGCCUCCUUCAGCCAGUGAGCCUUGGAGAAGAGAUGCUUAUCUAGACAGCUGGGAUCAUCUUCGCCAGGAACUGGCCUCAAGGAAAUGGGAACAAAGAGACCCCGGAGUUGAAGACUAACUGUGCUUAAAACAAUCAAGAUGACGCUGACCAGACCACCACAUGACCAGUUUCAAAAUGACUGUCGGAGCUGACUGUGCUGUUCUGCACAUGGCCCCUGCCUGCACACCCCUGAAACUUCCCGGCUUUUCCCUCCACAACCCUUUCCCUCUAACCAACAAGAGGGAGAUGCUUUGGGAGACAACAGUCUGCCAUCAUACCAGAGAAAGAAAAGAGAACAAAUGUCAAGUUUUUGAUGCAUGGCAUAUACUAGAAUAAGAAGGAAGAGCAUUAAAGAGACUGGAGAGCAGUUAGUGUAAAAGGAUCUAAGAAUCUUGAAAAACCCAGCAACUUAUCUUUCUACUCCAGAACAGCAGAUAAAGAAACAACUUGUUGAAAUCCCCUCUGCGUCUAACACAACAAGACUGGCUGAAACCAGUUGCAGCCAAGAUGGCUGACCAUACUUUGGGCAGAAUAAACCUGCUUGUCCGAUUGGUGACCCUUUGAUACUGAGACAGGCUGGGACCUAGGACCCGGGACCCAGGACACUUUGCUGCCGUGCUUGCACCUGGACAAACGUCUCCUCAAGCAAGAAAAUACAAAGAAACUAUAAGGGACUAAAAAUAACUUUGUGCGUGUG